AGCCUGCUUGUGAUGUCAUACUUGACAUCAGAAUAGGGUGUCUGCAUGCUGCCUAGGGCUCUCUCCCAGCUGGCAGUAGCUGUUGAAGUCUCCAGAUAAGUAGCCCUCAAGCUGACUCUCUCGAGAGACAGAGAUUUAGAUUGGCAUCUCACUUUGCUUUAUGUGACUCAGCAAUGAAAGUACCAUGUGCAUUGAUGCUACUAUAUAUAUAUCAUCUUCAUCACCCGAGGCGUUAUCACAGGAAUAAGAGACAGAAGAUCAAGAAUGAUACUGAGAAGGGCUAUAUAGUUUUCCCUGGACUUGCUCCCUGGGGCAACUGAAUUGAGAAUGGGCGGUAUGUAUAUCCUAUCUUGGUGUUUCUUCCUUUUUUUUUCGAGGGUUGACUGUAGAACAAAUAAGUAAAAUAAAUACAUUUACUAUGUAGUUAGUGUGCGUACG
rnacentral:lncRNA from 1 species